GGACGUUCUUUUUAGAAGUCCGACCCUUUCAUUUUCUUACACUGUGCACACACUUCUUUUUUACACACACUUUUAACACAUUAGUAUAAGAAUGUAAUAGUCUCUUAAUUGAGCAUAAAUAAAAACAAAACUUUCAGCAACGGAUCUCUUGGCUCUCGCAUCGAUGAAGAACGCAGCGAAUUGCGAUAAGUAAUGUGAAUUGCAGAAUUCAGUGAAUCAUCGAAUCUUUGAACGCACCUUGCACUCUUUGGUAUUCCGAAGAGUAUGUCUGUUUGAGUGUCAUGAAACUCUCAACCCCCCUAUUUUGUAAUGAGAUGGGCGUGGGCUUGGAUUAUGGCUGUCUGUCGGCGUAAUUGCCGGCUCAGCUGAAAUACACGAGCAACCCUAUUGAAAUAGACGGUUUGACUUGGCGUAAUAAUUAUUUCGCUAAGGACGUCUUCUUCAAAUAUAAGAGGUGCUUCUAAUGCGCUUUUUAAAGCAACUUAAGCUUUAGACCUCAAAUCAGUCAGGACUACCCGCUGAACUUAAGCAUAUCAAUAAGCGGAGGAA
rnacentral:rRNA from 1 species